rnacentral:rRNA from 1 species
UACGUAGGGUGCGAGCGUUGUCCGGAAUUACUGGGCGUAAAGAGCUCGUAGGUGGUUUGUCGCGUUGUCCGUGAAAACUCACAGCUUAACUGUGGGCGUGCGGGCGAUACGGGCAGACUGGAGUACUGCAGGGGAGACUGGAAUUCCUGGUGUAGCGGUGGAAUGCGCAGAUAUCAGGAGGAACACCGGUGGCGAAGGCGGGUCUCUGGGGCAGUAACUGACGCUGAGGAGCGAAAGCGUGGGUAGCAAACAGG